GAUUAACGCUAGCGGCAGGCCUAAUACAUGCAAGUCGAACGGUAACAGGUGUAGCAAUACAUGCUGACGAGUGGCGCACGGGUGCGUAACACGUAUGCAACCUACCUAUAACUGGGGAAUAGCCCUCCGAAAGGAGGAUUAACACCGCAUAACAUCACGGAACGGCAUCACUCUGUGAUCAAACCUCCGGGGGUUAUAGAUGGGCAUGCGUAACAUUAGCUAGUUGGUGAGGUAGCGGCCCACCAAGGCUACGAUGUUUAGGGGGUCUGAGAGGAUGAUCCCCCACACUGGUACUGAGACACGGACCAGACUCCUACGGGAGGCAGCAGUAAGGAAUAUUGGACAAUGGGGGCAACCCUGAUCCAGCCAUGCCGCGUGAAGGAUGACGGCCCUAUGGGUUGUAAACUUCUUUUGUAUAGGGAUAAACCUACCCUCGUGAGGGUAGCUGAAGGUACUAUACGAAUAAGCACCGGCUAACUCCGUGCCAGCCGCCGCCGUAAUAC
rnacentral:rRNA from 1 species